ensembl:lncRNA
UGAAUACAGAUAAUGCAAUCCAAAAAACAAGAGUAAAACAAAGAAAAAUAAACAGCCUCAGAGAAACAUGGAACCAUCACCGUGUAGUGGGAGUCCCAGAAGGAGAGGAGAAAGAAAACUAGGAGAAAAAAUUAUUAGAAGAAAUAAUGCCUAAAAACCCCAAAUUUGAUGAAAAACAUGAAGAAGAUCAGCACAUUCUUAAAGCAGAAUGAUCCACACCCAGACGUGUCAGAAUAAAAAUAUUGAAAGACAAAAAUCUUGAAGACACAAAACCCACUUGUACAAGAAAACCUCAUUAACGAUUGACUUGGAAGCAAUGGAGGCCUGAAGGCAGUGGACUGACAUGCAAAGUGCUGAAUGAGAAAACUGUCAACCAAGAAUCUUAUAUCUAGCAAAACUGUCUUUCAGAAAUGAAGGCAAAGUAAGGACAUUCUUGCAUUUUAAGAAUUCAUUCUGGGGCUGGCCCCGUGGCUGAGUGGUUAAGUUUGCACACUCUGCUGCAGUGGCCCAGGGUUUCACCGGUUCUAAUCCUGAGAACAGACAUGGCACCACUCAUCAGGCCAUGCUGAGGCAGCAUCCCACAUAGCGCAACUAAAACUACACAACUAUGUACUGAGGGGCUUUGGGAGAAAAAGGAAAAAUAAAAUCUUAAAAAAAAAAAUUCGUUCUGAGGAAACUCACCUUACAAUAAGUACUAAAGGAGGCUUUUCAAGCUGAAAGGAAGUGAGAUCACACAGUAGUUCAAAUACUCAUGAAAAAAUGGAAUGCCAGUAAAGAUAAUUAUGUAGGAAAUUAUAAAAGACGUUGUAAUGACCUAUUGUCCUUUCUUCUCUCAGCUGACUUAGAAAACAAUUCUAUAAAAUAUAUAAUAUGUGUAUGAUUGUAGUGUUUCAUCUGUAACAGAAAUGUGACAAUAACACCAUGAAGGAGGUGGGAGCAAAUCUGUAUUUCAAUAAUGAAUCCACAGAAAGAGAUGAAGACAACAAGAAAUGCGGAAGAAAUCUGAAACAAAUGAAAGAUCCAGCCUUCAUUUAUAGAUGUUCUUCCCAAGGCUUUCAGAUUUGAAUGAGAAAGUAUGAACCCUGGGAGUUGUUGGAAGCCAUCUUGGGUAGAAGGUUGGGGGAGGGGAAACCAUAGGAUGAAGCUGACACUCAAGAAAGCAGAGUGGAGGGACAAAAGGAUUCCAG